GAAUUGACGGGGGCCCGCACAAGCGGAGGAACAUGUGGUUUAAUUCGAUGAUACGCGAGGAACCUUACCCGGGCUUGAAUUGCUGAGGAAAGAUCCAGAGAUGGAGAUGCCCUUCGGGGCCUCAGUGAAGGUGCUGCAUGGUCGUCGUCAGCUCGUGCCGUGAGGUGUCGGCUUAAGUGCCAUAACGAGCGCAACCCCUCUCUUCAGUUGCCAUCAGGUUAAGCUGGGCACUCUGGAGACACUGCCACCGUAAGGUGUGAGGAAGGUGGGGAUGACGUCAAAUCAGCACGGCCCUUACGUCCGGGGCUACACACGUGUUACAAUGGGUGGUGCAGAGAGUUGGGUGCGCGCAAGCUCACCCUAAUCAAGAAAUCCAUUCUCAGUUCGGACUGGGGUCUGCAACCCGACCCCACGAAGCUGGAUUCGCUAGUAAUCGCGCAUCAGCCAUGGCGCGGUGAAUACGUUCCCGGGCCUUGUACACACCG
rnacentral:rRNA from 1 species